rnacentral:rRNA from 1 species
GGCGAACGCUGGCGGCGUGCUUAACACAUGCAAGUCGAACGGAAAGGCCCUGCUUUUGUGGGGUGCUCGAGUGGCGAACGGGUGAGUAACACGUGAGUAACCUGCCCUUGACUUUGGGAUAACUUCAGGAAACUGGGGCUAAUACCGGAUAGGAGCUCCUGCUGCAUGGUGGGGGUUGGAAAGUUUCGGCGGUUGGGGAUGGACUCGCGGCUUAUCAGCUUGUUGGUGGGGUAGUGGCUUACCAAGGCUUUGACGGGUAGCCGGCCUGAGAGGGUGACCGGCCACAUUGGGACUGAGAUACGGCCCAGAAUCCUACGGGAGGCAGCAGUGGGGAAUAUUGCAAAAUGGGCGGAAGCCUGAUGCAGCAACGCCGCGUGCGGGAUGACGGCCUUCGGGUUGUAAACCGCUUUCGCCUGUGACGAAGCGUGAGUGACGGUAAUGGGUAAAGAAGCACCGGCUAACUACGUG